GGCCAGUUAGCUCAGCCAGUUGACCAUGGCGCUAACAACGCCAAGGUGGUCGUGGGUUCGAUUCCCAUUCAGUCCC
rnacentral:tRNA from 1 species